GCAAGGAACGCUCCGCUUGCUUCAAAGUACAAAACGCCAGAGCAGUUCCCGCACUUCACGCCGUUGCCGUGGAGCCAGAAGCGAAAACUCUCAAGCCUGCUGUCUUCGUCGCCCGUUAGCGUGGGACAUAGCAAAAGGACAUUCGCCAUGAAGUCCAACGUUAUCUUGGCCCUUUUCAUCCUGGGGCAUCUGUGCCAAAUUCACGCAGCCACGCUGACCAAGCCGGCAAAGAACACAGACGACGCAUCGAAAGAACUCACGGAAAAGAUUUCCCGUUCACUCAUGGAGCACCGCGAAGAGAUCCUCGAGGCAUUCAAGACACUCGAAAAGUCUGUCGACAGUUUCGGCGACGAAACCGUUGAGCAGGCCAUUCCGGCCGUAAUUGCGGCUGUAGCGGGGAACAUUGCAAACAGUGCUAUAUCCGGCGCUGUCGGGGCUGUUGUGGGGUGGUUAAUUAGCAAUAACUGAAUGCUCCCUCGGAGUCGUCUCCUUGUUAUCAUUACAA